UGGGAGAUAUUGCACAAUGGGCGCAAGCCUGAUGCAGCCAUGCCGCGUGUAUGAAGAAGGCCUUCGGGUUGUAAAGUACUUUCAGCGAGGAGGAAGGCAUUAAGGUUAAUAACCUUAGUGAUUGACGUUACUCGCAGAAGAAGCACCGGCUAACUCCGUGCCAGCAGCCGCGGUAAUACGGAGGGUGCAGCGUUAAUCGGAAUUACUGGGCGUAAAGCGCACGCAGGCGGUCUGUCAAGUCGGAUGUGAAAUCCCCGGGCUCAACCUGGGAACUGCAUUCGAAACUGGCAGGCUAGAGUCUUGUAGAGGG
rnacentral:rRNA from 1 species